rnacentral:rRNA from 1 species
UACGUAGGGGGCAAGCGUUGUCCGGAUUUAUUGGGCGUAAAGAGCGUGUAGGCGGCUAGGUAGGUCCGUUGUGAAAACUCGAGGCUCAACCUCGAGACGCCGGUGGAAACCAUCUAGCUAGAGUCCGGAAGAGGAGAGUGGAAUUCCUGGUGUAGCGGUGAAAUGCGCAGAUAUCAGGAAGAACACCCGUGGCGAAGGCGGCUCUCUGGGACGUGACCGACGCUGAGACGCGAAAGCGUGGGGAGCGAACAGG